AACGGCGGAAACGUUCUGGGGCGGAGGACGUCAUGUAUGCAUCACAACAAAUGUAAAGUAGUAAACAAGCAACAACAUCAUCCAUUGCAUUAAUAGUAUAAUUUUAGUUACAAGUGUUUUCUUUCAUAGUACAAGACAUGAUAAUAACUUAUCAAAAUAAAAGACGAGUCUUGACUGCUCCGUCUUCUCUAAACCUUGCAUCGACACCUGUCUAUUUGUAACCUGAGAAUACAAGUUAUUUUGAAAGAGUAGAUCAGCAUUUAAGCUGGUGAGUUCAUAAGUAUUUAAUGUCAUUGCUUUAAUUAGUUGAUAUGAAAAACUGGUAAAUGAAUGAUGAAACAUUUAGUAUAAGUAUGAAAAGCUCUAGAAAAUCCCAUAUUUCCUACUAGUAUAAAAGUAGUCUUCUACCAAGACUCGAAUGUUUUGAAAGUAGUCUUUUACCUAGACCUGACUGUUUUGAAAGUACGCAUCUCUUGAAAAUGUGAUGGUUUUUCCUUGUUUAACUCUUAUUAGUAGUCCCUUAAGUAUACCUGAAAUGGUAUCAACUUUGAAACAUCCGUAGAUUGUUCAUUUACCUCUGUUGCUAACAGCCGGGUUUAGGAAUAGUUAGUCCCUUAUGUAUACCCACGAUGGUAUCAACCUAGAACAUCCGUAGAUUGUUCAUUUACCUCUGUAGCUAACAGUGGUUGUCGGAAUGGUUAGUCCCUCAAAGUAUGAUGUGGUACUAGGAGAUAAAGUCCCAGUCUACCUCGUCGAUGAUGUGAUUGAAUCACAAGGUAAAGAUAGAAAGGCGAACAAUAUAACCGUAUCUAGACAUAUAACAUGUAAUAUUAAAUUGCCAUAUAAUGUCUAUGUAAAAGUAUUCAUGUAUAAGUAUUCAUGUAAGAGUAUUCCUUCAUAUAACAUGUAGUAGUAAUUUGCCAUAUAAUGUCUAUGUAAAAGUAUUCAUGUAUAAGUAUUCAUGUAAGAGUAUUCCUUCAUAUAACAUGUAGUAGUAAUUUGCCAUAUAAUGUCUAUGUAAAAGUAUUCAUGUAUAAGUAUUCAUGUAAGAGUAUUCCUUCAUAUAACAUGUAGUAGUAAUUUGCCAUAUAAUGUCUAUGUAAAAGUAUUCAUGUAUAAGUAUUCAUGUAAGAGUAUUCCUUCAUAUAACAUGUAGUCUAGACUCAUGAAUGAACUGACUCUGGUGUAAUUUCUUGUAGUAGGGAAAAUGUUUUGUUUACUCUAAACUAUUCCUAUAAUAGUUUACUAGAAUGUAAUUGAUGAGUGACCAAGUAGGUUUAUACACCAUUGAUAUCUAUUUGUAUCGGAACUAAAUUAACUGAUGGAACAUUUAUGACCAUAUAUGUAUACAUGAUAUAUAACUAAUAUUUAAACGACUUUCGGACGAAUACCCAAUAUCCCACCAGACCACAUCUCAAGGCGCGAAAAGGAAAUAGGGUGGAUAGCCUUUCUAAGUCUUUUAAACAUUUCUUAUAUAACUAUACAUAUAGAGGCAUGCAAUUUAUAAUAUAAAAGCAUAAAGAAGUUUUGUAAAACCGUUGAAAAGUCUAAUAAAGAAUUUGUGACUUGAUGUCAGUUUAUAAAAUGAUUGAAAGUAUUUUGUUUGAUAAGACAGUUUAAGUACACGGAAAACCAUUGUUUGAAAACACCUUUGUAACCGAUUUUGAAAGGAAGCUUACAGUAUGUAAGACAGUUUGAUAACGAGCUUUAAUCAUGUAAAAACGUUUAAGAAAGUCAUUUGAAGUAAUAUGUUUAGUGAAACUGUUAAACUUGUAGUAAAUCCAUUUGUAUACUAGUUAUAAAUCACAUAAGAUUGAUUUAUUAACAAGAAGUAUCCCAAAAUAUUGAUGUUUUUCGUGCCAAAAUAAUCGUAUGUUUGUAGUAUGAUAGGUGGACACAUAUACAUACAGUAUAAGCAGUGUGUUUGAUUUAUAUAUAAAUAACAACACUUUUCAUUUCAAAAGAUAUGAUGUUAUCGUGAUACAUUUUGCAUACGAAAGUUUCUUUAUAAUAAUUAUAAAUCACAUAAGAUUCCGUUGAUAAAAAGUAUAAAACGAAACUUUAUAUAACAUACGAUAAUCAUCGUGUGUUUUACUUGUAUUCCCCCCCUUAAAAGCAUAUAAAAAUAUUUAUAAAACAUUUAAAAGUGUGGAUUAUAGGGGUAUGAACUCACCUGAAAGUUUGAAGAUAGCGAGAUGGAAAACCGGGCAGAGUUUCGUCUCGGGAAACGGAUUUUUCUCGGGAUUCUCGGGAAUCUCGGGAGUAAAAUCGACCCUCGGGACUUGAGCAAAAAGGCCAGAGCUUCGGGUUUGAACGGGCACGGAAAACGAGGCAAGACGCAAGAGAAAAGAGAAGAAUUGAGCAAAGUUUUCGGAAAGCCUCGCAUUCUAUUUAUAGGAAGGAUGAACCGCCUCGGUACGCGGGGCGUACGCUCGUACGCAGCGCGUACGCGUACGUCAUGCAUGACCGAAGCCUCGACUGCCUCGGCUUCGGAUGGGACGGGUUGCUGGGGAGGCGGGUCGGAUGGGACGGCGGGUCGGACGGGUCGGCGGGUCGGACGGGUCGGGCGCUUCGGACGGGUCGGAUGCCUCGGAUAGGGCGACGUGGACGAUCCGAGGCCCUUGAUCUCAGUACGCGGGGCGUACGAAGGUACGCAGGGCGUACUUCGGUCCUAUCCGAUGACUCCCCUUCGGAUAAUACCGGGAGUUUAUAAUUAAAUUUAUAUUUAUUUUAAAUAAACUUCUAAAAUUCAUAUCUCCCUCAUACGAACUCCGUUUUUGACGUUCUUUAUAUCCACGCGAAGGUGAGACCAAGAUCUACAACUUUCGUUUAGAAUCCGUUGGCAAAUUCCAAAAUUAUUUUUAUUAUUUAUUUAAUAAAAUGACGCGAUUAAGGAAUUUCUUCAAAAAUUCAUAACUUUCACAUCCGAAGUCAGAUUUGGACGUUCUUUUUAUGUACGAUCAUAGAUUGAGGUUGUCUAUAACUUUCAUUUAGAUACUUAAGGCUAAAAACUAUUGCAUCGAAAUUUCGCGUUUUUCGUUUAAUCGCUGAUGCCGGUUUUGCCGAGAAUCUUCGGUUGGUCAUAACUUCUUCGUUAUAACUCGGAUUUUAGGGUUCUUUAUAUGCUUGGAAACCUUGAUACGAUUCCUACUACUUUAUUUAACCCAAAUAAGAUUUUAGGAAAGUUACAUUUUGACCUAAAUUUGAUUGGUUUUACAUUACAUUGUCUCGAAAUAUCGGGUUGUCACAUCAUCCCCCCGUUAGAAGGAAUUUCGUCCCGAAAUUAGAAUUUAAGCAAGGAAGUAUGCACGAAUGAUCGAGUCGUGAGGAGGAAACUUCCUAAUCGAUUGGUUCUAGUGCAUCUAAGUGAUAACGGGUUCUCGGUUGGCGUUCCAACGAACCUUCACUAACUGGCGAUGGCGUUUCUUCGUCCGCUUGACCUCUCGGUCGAGGGUCACUACGGUUCUAAUACGAAGUCGAGGAUCUCGAAGAGUGGACUUGCAAGAGUCCUAACGGAAAGGUAUGGUUUCACGAUCGAGAUGCGAAGAGUAGAAAGUACGUUACUGAGUUCGCGGAGUAGGUCUUGUUUGUGUGAGGCACAGGACCGAUUCUGAUAAGAAUCUCGGAGGUCCUGUCUAACUUGGAUUUAGAUUUCCACGCUUUACGAAGCGUAUUAAGCCAUUCCCAGAGUGAGUUAUCCUAAAGAACUUGGUCACUCACUUGGAAUCUCAAAGGUUCCUUUUCUUACGUAACUUCCCAGUCAAAGGCCACCCCUUGCUGGGUCAAAGUCGUACGAGUUUCUGUAGCUUGCGAGGAGUUCUGAAUGAACUAAGGCGGUAGGUCGGUAAGACCUAGAAUCUGGCGAAAAACUGUCGGCGUCUCUGGUGUCGAUAAAUGCUCAACGGUUUUGACAAAUUGAAAGAGUACUCAAAAUUUCUCACAUUACUAUCAGUGUGUCCUAGAAAUUUGACUCUUCAAUUUCAAAACUCGUGCCUAGAGAACUUUGCUAAAAGUUCCUCUGUAGGAAUGUUACCAUGGGCUUUCUUCUUACUACGAGGGUAGAUAAGUAAGUCAUUUCAUGGGGAAAUGACGAAUUGAUCCAAGUAAGAAAGACGUAACCCUUCAUUUAACUCAUGAAAACCAUGGGCGUAUUGGUCCUAUCCGAAAGGUAUCACUACGAACUCGAAGUGUCCGUAUCGGGUUUAGGAGAUAGUCUUCCGGACAUCCUCCCCUAACACUCGAACUGGUGAUAUUCGGAUUCCAGAUCCAUUCCUGGAAGUAGAUUCUUUCCUUACGUUUGCUCAACCAUUUUGUCUAUGCGAGGCAGAGAUAACGCUUUCUAUGAAAGUUUUGACGAAGUCCUCGAUAUCUGAGGCACAUACGAUGCGAUUCGUCGAUCUCUGGAAGAAUAUGACCGGGGUUCUCUAGGGUGAGAAACCUAGUCUUCUAAUUCUAAUUCUAUGUGGUUCGCUUAGUUGUUUGCACUGUUCUGGUAUCUCCAUGGGUGUUUAAACUAUAGGGCGAUAUGUUUUCGGGAGUUGUACUGGGUUCUAAGUUUAUUCACAUGACGAUGUGAUUACUCAUAUACGUAGGCAGUUUCUCCGUCCUAAAGUUCAUAUUAGAAUUCAUACAUGGUAUCACCAUCACAAUUUCGGGUAUACGAGUUGCAUAUAAUUAAGGUUGAAAAGGUAGUCGAAUAACUGAUUCUUCUUUAAGCUCACAUCCCAUCGGGGAAAAAGAAGUUAAAGUGGAAUCAUCAAUUCUAAACCUGUAGAAGCUUGAUUAUAUAUCACUCUUAUGUAUACCAUUCUCAGUGAUAGAUCAAUCAUAUGAAUCCUUGGAUUGAACUUGACGUACUGCACGAGUGGUACUUCGGGGAUUUCUUCGGCAAGAAAAAUAACUAAGGGGUACUCCUGGAAUGAGUACUUCGGUGUUCUGAUAUGACGGCUUCGCUGAAAAAGUGAUCUAGAAGAAAGAGAUGUACGCAUGAAGCUGUUUUCGCAUCGAUCAAAUUGAAUCUGAUUGUAUGAUAAUGUCGGAAUCAUACAGAAACUUUAAAGACAUUAGAAUUAAACAUAGACGAUUACAGUCAAAACACAACUGUGCAACCAUGAACAGAGUUACAGUACUUUAGAUUUACCACUAGACUAUUGCUGCGAAUAAGAUAUACUACAAAAGACAAGUAUACGCAACACGAGAAUUCCUAUACAGACAGGAUCUCGCAAAAGGUAAGACUCUAGUUGCACUAGUUCUAGAUAGUUUAUAAGUCUGUUACAACGAAACGCCUUAAAUACAUUAACGUGGUUCCUGAGCAGGCUCUCCUGCAGCUGUGAUCCUGGGAAUCUUCCCGUCUGCGCCAGGGUUCUGCAUUAUCGGGCAAUCCUUUUUGAAGUGCCCUAACUCACUGCAUUGGUGGCAUGACUGGCUAGUACCCACAUCAAUGGAGGAAGUGAAGUGUCGGGUAGGAGUUAUGGGAACACGGGUGCUUUCCUUGUUUUCCUUCUUUGGGCAAUCUCUUUUAUAGUGCCCAAACUCACCACAGUUAUAGCAAUCUAGGCUGGCCCUAGUGGUGAAGGUAGCUUUACAGAAACGGGCGAUGUGUCCUUUCUUGUUGCAGUUCACGCACUGUAAGACGCGGCACAUUCCCUCGUGGUGGAAAUUGCACCGGUCGCACUUCGGGAGUGUUCCCUUAUAUGGUCUGCUCGGUACUGGGAUGGCAGAGGUUUGUGGCUGCUGUCUGGCAAUUUUCUGAAACCGUUUGCGUUCCACCUUGGCUUGACAUUUUCUUUUCUUGUUCUCUGCUUUCUGGCUUUGCGAGCCUGUGGAUGUUACUGUUGGAUGACUUCCUGGAUGGAUAUUGCGAUUGGAAACUUUAUUCCCAUUAGCAGCAUUGACUGUGCUGUUAGCGCUACGGUGCGCCAUGACCGCGGUUACGGCCGCCACUACAGCAGCUGUAACUGUCGUUUGAAAGGUGGCGGCGUCCAUCGGAAAAGUAGAGGUCUCGCUGCUUGGCUGGUUGUUUCCGGACGACGCCAUGAUUCUGUAACAUGAAAGAGUAAAGAUUUGUAAGCGAUUAUGGUUGACCCUGAUGUACUUAGAUUGUUCAUGAAAAGAGUAAGAGUAUGAUCUCUAAAGUUUGACCUACAUCCCUAUGAUGCAGUCCUAGUACGGAAUGGAAGUAUGAUCGUAGAAUGGUCACAAGACGUUUGUCGUUCGAGAUGAGGUAUCGUGGGUUGGUGAAUAACAAGAUCCAACCACUGAAGGAGACUUGGAAGUGUCUCCUGAAUAAAUCACCAUAGUCCAAUGACUUGACUAAAGCAUGUUUCAGAUAGACUCGAAUGAAGGUAAGAUAAAAGUACUUGAAUGAAGAAUGACACAGAAGUUAGCCGGCUGUCAAUAUCUUUGAUAUUCACGAUGUAAGGGUUUUGGAAAACGGCCUUUUAAAGGUAUCACAUCAUAUCCCCAGAAGAUAGUUCCUGACAGCAUAAAGACCUAACUAAAGUACUUACGGUACCAGAUAAUUUCAUAGAAAAUGCCACAUCAGGCAUAGACAGAAAAAUAUGAUUCCUCUUUUUAUAAGGUAAAUAAGUAACGCGUCUACUACUGGCGAUGGUAAUUCCUCUGGUGAAUUCUUAGUCCAACCAAUUGACAUUCCAUGUCAAGUAGGUGUCUCUAGUACACCCUCUGGCGUACUUGGAGCUCUAUGACUUUGGCCCGGGUUUUCAGCUAGUGUUUGCAGCAGGUUCUCAUGGUUUCUUUCUGUUCUCUUGCGAGAAUCUUCUAGAUGAGUGGUGUAGAGGGUAUGCAUUCUCGCAUCGGUGACAACUUCGGCAAUCUGAUGUUGGGCUGUCCUGCCUUGAAUCUCAUUUUGGGCCACUCUGCGGACCAUGAUUGGCAAGAUUCUACCUGCUGAGCCCCCAUUGCUCAGGUCGUAAAAGUUUCGGUCGCCAAUAAAUGGCAUGGGCUGAUCUUGUUCUUGGCUUCAUGUUUCCAAGCAUUCCACCGAAUCAGGCGUCGGGCCAUGAAGAGCUGGACGAGGGUUAGGAAUUGGAAUGGGAGUUGCUCGAGGUAGGUUCUCAACCUCUAGUUCGGAAUUAGCAUCGGCUGAAAGGUUUUCAUCAUGGUGAUCAUCCAAAGGGAUAGGAUGAUCAUUCUCUGGUUCUUCUCCAAACCAACCAGCUAUGACUUCAUUCGGAAGAUACUGGUUGUCAAGGGGAUGGAGCCCAACUAUGAUUUCUAUGCGAGAAUUUAGGGUAAGUGGAUAAUUAUUAGACGAACUAUCUAGAUAAUUAUUUAGAAAACCCUCAUUAGUUACAUCGCGAUUUGUGAAGUGCAUACCAGCUAUGUUUAAUCUAAACAGGAUAGACCUUCGAAUAAGUGACCUUAUUUCCAAAUUCACACAGAAUAGGGGUAAGGCAAAAUUACCACUGAUUCUAAGUCUAUAACAUCCUAAUUACAUGUAGCCUUAGUGUAUCCACUUAGCAACUAUCAACUUAGUAAUGAGGAUCCCGUUUUAAUUCUCAAGUAUAAAGUACUUAUAGUAACACCAAAUACUCCUAUAGUAUUUUAAUUUUUAUGUUAUGUUCUAUUGUUCUCAUUGUGGUAGGGUUGGUAAGAUUUUAGCAUUGUUGCGACUACACACUUAAACUUAGGCACAUGCUAGUCAACCCUCGGAUAAUAUAGGCGAUCAGGCUAUAUCUUCCCAGUUUUGACCAUAUGUCUCUAAGCCCACUUGUGUUGCCCAACAAUCGUAAUUCUUUUGUACUGUCCUAGUGACACUGAUUUUAGUAUGAAUGCAGCACGUAUACUUACUUAAAUAUUUUAUUAUUUAAAGUAUAAACUCUAAAUCAGAGUAUUUUUAAUCCCAUUGUAUUUAUAGUUAGUAUAUCUUUUAUGGGUUGAUAUACUCAAUUCACUAUAAACAAUGCUCUGAUACCAAUCUGUCACACCCCAAAACCGAGAACGGCGGAAACGUUCUGGGGCGGAGGACGUCAUGUAUGCAUCACAACAAAUGUAAAGUAGUAAACAAGCAACAACAUCAUCCAUUGCAUUAAUAGUAUAAUUUUAGUUACAAGUGUUUUCUUUCAUAGUACAAGACAUGAUGAUAACUUAUCAAAAUAAAAGACGAGUCUUGACUGCUCCGUCUUCUCUGAACCUUGUAUCGACACCUGUCUAUUUGUAACCUGAGAAUACAAGUUAUUUUGAAAGAGUAGAUCAGCAUUUAAGCUGGUGAGUUCAUAAGUAUUUAAUGUCAUUGCUUUGAUUAGUUGAUAUGAAAGACUGGUAAAUGAAUGAUGAAACAUUUAGUAUAAGUAUGAAAAGCUCUAGAAAAUCCCAUAUUUCCUACUAGUAUAAAAGUAGUCUUCUACCAAGACUCGAAUGUUUUGAAAGUAGUCUUUUACCUAGACCUGACUGUUUUGAAAGUACGCAUCUCUUGAAAAUGUGAUGGUUUUUCCUUGUUUAACUCUUAUUAGUAGUCUCUUAAGUAUACCUGAAAUGGUAUCAACCUAGAACAUCCGUAGACUGUUCAUUUACCUCUGUUGCUAACAGCCGGGUUUAGGAAUAGUUAGUCCCUUAUGUAUACCCACGAUGGUAUCAACCUAAAACAUCCGUAGAUUGUUCUUUUACCUCUGUAGCUAGCAGUGGUUGUCGGAAUGGUUAGUCCCUCAAAGUAUGAUGUGGUACUAGGAGAUAAAGUCCCAGUCUAUCUCGUCGAUGAUGUGAUUGAAUCACAAGGCAAAGAUAGAAAGGCGAACAAUAUAACCGUAUCUAGACAUAUAACAUGUAAUAGUAAUUUGCCAUAUAAUGUCUAUGUAAAAGUAUUCAUGUAUAAGUAUUCAUGUAAGAGUAUUCCUUCAUAUAACAUGUAGUAGUAAUUUGCCAUAUAAUGUCUAUGUAAAAGUAUUCAUGUAUAAGUAUUCAUGUAAGAGUAUUCCUUCAUAUAGCAUGUAGUCUAGACUCAUGAAUGAACUGACUCCGGUGUAAUUUCUUGUAGUAGUGAUAAUGUUUUGUUUACUCUAAACU
rnacentral:lncRNA from 1 species